rnacentral:lncRNA from 8 species
UGAACUUUCAAUAUUAAUUUCCAAUGGUAUUGUACUUUAAAUCAGUAAAAAAAAAAAAAUAUUUUGAUGAUAUACCAGAAAUCACCAAAACGGGUUUGCCCUGCCUUCAGCUAAGUUGGCUCUGGUUCAGGGCACCUUGACCCAGAGCUAGUCUACAGAUAACUUAUCAUAGCGGAAUGGAAUUUGGAAUUUUGCAACUUUCAACUCAAUUGCAUAGUUGAACCUCCAACAGUACUUUUCCAGUCUCCCUCUGCUAACUGUGGAGCUAACAGCUUUUUGUUCCACACCGGCACUAAGACACCUGCUCCAAAGAAUUAACUCAUCAUGGUCCUAGGUCUGGACCUUGGUUAUUUGAAUCAUCUACGGAGCAGUUGGUCGAAUAGUCUAACAUUGUCUGUCAUGCUUUGCCUUCCUCUUACAGGAAACAGUCCCGCAGAUACAGCGUCUCAACUUGGAUCAUUAAAUAUGAUUGGCCUCAAGUACAACAUGUCUCUACCCAUGGCUGCAGGGGCCUUGUUAGUGGGCAUCCCCUACUCCAUCUCUCUCGUAGCCCAGUGGAUGUAUGGCUGGCCUAACAAGCCAGGCUAUAAAAAGUACAUCGAGGCUCUGAAGCCAAGGCGGAUAUACUGUCUGACUAGAGCUGUGCUGGAGAUGCUGAAAUACUUCCAGUACGGCAAACUCUACUUCCAGUGGAAGUCCUGGUACAAGAAUGUAGAAAACCACAAGCAUUAUGAAAAGGGCAUCAGGUUUGGGCGUCGUAGCAACAAGCUGGAUUUGUAUUAUUCUCCCACGGUGGGCCAGCCAGGCAGUGGACCGGUGCCUGUGGUAGUGUUUAUAUACGGGGGAGCCUGGGGUUCAGGGGAGAGGUCCAUAUACUGUCUACUGGCCAUGCAGAUGGCUAAGGAGCUCAGGGCAACGGUGAUCUGCCCCGACUAUUGCACCUAUCCAAAGGGUAAUGUUUUGUGUAUGGUUCAAGAUAUUGCGGACUGUCUCAUUUGGGCGAGGGACAGCGGCCAUAAAUUCAACUUUGACAAAGAUAACAUUGUGUUAAUCGGCCACUCCGCUGGGGCUCACCUAGCAGCUCUAACCGUCCUGUUCAUGGUCGAGGGACGAGACGAGCUCUUUAUAGAUGCCAAGAAGCAGACAGAGAUCACCAUGGCAAUCAGAGGAGUUACAGGUUUGAGUGGAGUGUACAACAUCAUGGACCACUACGAACAUGAACAGAUGAGAGCUGUGGAGUAUGUCUCUACGAUGCACAAAGCCAUGAACGGAGUGGAGAACUUCCCUUAUUACUCACCAACACACCUACUGAAGAAAUUCAGCAAGGCACAACUGAAAAGAGUGCCACCUUUCUGCUUGCUUCACGGGACCAACGACAUCAUAGUUCCGAUGGAAUCUUCCCAGAGGUUUUCUGAGCUGCUCACGUCCCUGUCAAUCAAGGUGUCCCUGUACCUCAUGCCUAAAAUGGACCACACAGAGAUAGUCACCGAUCUCAUGACGACAGACAGGCACUUCUACAAAACAGUGUACAGCUGCAUCAAACAGGAGUACAGCAAGUUCAUAGGCCAGGUCUGUGACUGCUGA